UUGGCGCGGUCUAUAAUGCAAGUCGACGACUCAAGGUAUUGCAUUGGUGCUUGCAUCAUGAUUUACAUUGAGCGGUGGCGAACUGGUGAGUAACACGUGGGAAACCUGUAAAAAGCGGGGGAUAACACCUGGAAACAGAUGCUAAUACCGCAUAACAACUUGGACCGCAUGGUCCGAGUUUGAUUUUUCCCCUUCAGCUAUCACUUUUGGAUGGUCCCGCGGCGUAUUUCUAGAUGGUGAGGUAACGGCUCACCAUGGCAAUGAUACGUAGCCGACCUGAAAGGGUAAUCGGCCACAUUGGGAC
rnacentral:rRNA from 2 species